GCAAGCUGAAGACUCUGCUACUGCCAGGGCUGCUCCUAUGGGUCUUCAAGGUAAGCAGCACAACCCAGUGUGAGUCGAAUGAGUUUAAACACGAGAACUUCUGCUGCCAACUCUGCCCUGCUGGCACUCACCUCAUUAAUCCAUGCCACAGGAACCGUGGUGAGAGUGAAUGUGCCCCAUGUCAAGCUCAGCACUUCAUAGAUGUGAACAACAGGGAACCUGUCUGCUCUCGCUGCUCUAAGUGCCGGGAUGACCAAGAAGAAGUGUCCGAGUGCUCCAGUACUGCUGAUCGUAAGUGCUGGUGUAAGCAGGGCACCUACUGUGAUUCUGAAAACUGUUUGGAGAUGUGCCAUGAUUGCAGCAGCUGUCCUGAGGGCAGAGUCAUCCAGGAAUGCAAUGCCACAAUGGACACUGUGUGUGACUCCAAGCAAGCUGCCGCUAUUGCCACCGUUGCCAUCGCUGCCGCCGGUGUCAUUGCCUUCAUUCGCUACUCCCGUCAUAAAAAAGAUAGAAGAGCCCUAAAUGAUGUCAACGACACCGUCUCAACCUCCACUAUGCUAUAGAGUCCUGGAAGGUAAGCAGAUGGCAUUCCUGAAGCUCACCCGGAUUGAAAGAAGUUGAAAUUCCUGAGGUGCACGGACGGUUAAGGACUCAAUGAACAACGACAGCUCAACACUAUUGUUUCUAAACUUGAGAGAGACCUUUCGGAAACUGUGACAAUUUAGCUGCUAAAGCUCG
rnacentral:lncRNA from 1 species